rnacentral:rRNA from 1 species
UACGGAGGGUGCGAGCGUUGUCCGGAAUCAUUGGGCGUAAAGGGCGCGUAGGUGGCCCAGUCAGUCUUUGGUGAAAGCGCGGGGCUCAACCCUGCGUCGGCCAGGGAUACUGCUGCGGCUCGAGCACUGUAGAGGCAGGCGGAAUUCCGGGUGUAGCGGUGGAAUGCGUAGAGAUCCGGAAGAACACCGGUGGCGAAGGCGGCCGCUGG